UACGUAGGGUGCAAGCGUUAAUCGGAAUUAUUGGGCGUAAAGCGCGUGUAGGCGGCUUUGCAAGUCGGGUGUGAAAUCCCUCAGCUCAACUGAGGAAGUGCGCCCGAAACUGCAGAGCUUGAGUACCGGAGAGGAUGGCGGAAUUCCCCAAGUAGAGGUGAAAUUCGUAGAUAUGGGGAGGAACACCGGUGGCGAAGGCGGCCAUCUGGACGGAUACUGACGCUGAGACGCGAAAGCGUGGGGAGCAAACAGG
rnacentral:rRNA from 1 species